rnacentral:tRNA from 1 species
GGGUUGUUAGCUCAAUCGGUAGAGCAGCGGACUUUUAAUCCGUUGGCUCCGGGUUCAAGUCCCGGACAACCCA